GGCGGCUCGGGAGCCCUCGAGCCCAGCCCAGGGGGAGGGACAGGCGCAGGAGGAAAGGGAGACAGGUACCUUGCUAUCGGCCCGGCAGGUGACAGCUGCCAAGGGAAGGUGCGGGGGAGGGCAUGUGCGGGGGAGGGAAGAUUCGGGCGUGGAAGAAAGAGGAGGCCCGGGAAGGGCGGCGGGUGCACUGCAAGCCACAAGGUGGAGAAGCGAGUCGCCGAUUGGCCAGCCCCGGGUUGCCGCUGGGGCGAGCGUGCGUUUGCAGCAACGGGCAAGAAGCACGAGCUGAUCUCCCACAGCCGUUUCUCCAGGAGCUGCUGCGUGCUCCUCAGCAGCAGCAGCAGCAGCAGCCAGAAGUGGAGAAGGAUAAGGGUGCCUUCUGAUUCCGAGGCGUGAGUGCUGAUCUCUGCAACUUGACAUCGGAGCUACCCUCGCCAUCUGGGACUGCGCGCCCUGAAGCAGUUGCACGAGGAGGAGCAGGAGGAGGAGGCACUUUUAGCAGCACUAACCCUGCCCUCCGUGGGUUUGCGUGACGAGAACAUGCAGUGAUUUGCUGCUGUGCCUUUAGACCCAUCCCAACCAUCAGGGUGUGUGGUAUAUGGUGUAUGUGGGAGGGGGAGAUCCACUGCCUCUGUAAUAAAUGAUAGAGGAUACAAUGACUUUGCUCUCUUUGCUGGGUCGGAUCAUGCGUUACUUCUUACUGAGACCAGAGACGCUGUUCCUGCUAUGCAUCAGCCUGGCCCUCUGGAGCUACUUCUUCCAUACGGAUGAAGUGAAGACCAUUGUCAAGUCCAGCAGGGAUGCCGUGAAGAUGGUGAAGGGCAAGGUGGCAGAAAUUAUGCAGAAUGACCAACUUGGAGGUCUGGACGUGCUGGACGCAGAGUUUUCCAAGACCUGGGAGUUUAAGAACCACAAUGUGGCUGUUUACUCCAUCCAAGGCCGGAGAGACCACAUGGAAGACAGGUUUGAAGUGAUCACUGACCUGGUGAACAAGACUCAUCCGUCCAUAUUUGGGAUAUUUGAUGGACACGGCGGAGAGGCAAGUUUCAGGCUGUUUCGGGUGAUGGGAAUUUGCCAUUGUUGGUUUAUUACUGUAUUCAACCAUUUGUGAAGUUGGGCAUUGGCUAUAUGGGGCUUUAAGUUAGCUGCAGAGUUGAUUUGUGCUGUUGUUAUAAUCUUUGGUUUGGUCAGAAUCAAUCCCAUGCAUGUCACUGGAAAAAGUGGGUACAGCUGAAUUUUCAGUGAAUUGCAAUUGCAGACACGGAACCUUAAGAGUAAUGAUUGUGCUCACUAAUUUGUUUGGAAUAAUCAGACUGUCUGGCCUUCGAUGAUAAUAUUUGCAAUUAGUUAAAAGCUACCUUUGUUUAAAUAAAGCACAAAUUUAUUUAUGGCAAAGUAAAGUAAAAGCUAUCAGGAGAUUCCUGACUGAGGGAUGCACUGCAAAACUUACCACUCUCCAUUUUUGUAAUGUCUCUUUAUAAUGACUUUAUAUACACCUUUUUCUCUGUUGUUUUUACUCACUGAGAUGAGCUGCUUGCCUAGAAUAGAAAUGAAAAUAAAUGCCAUGUGCAUCUUCCUCUCUGCAGCAUAUGCGCAGAAGAAUGGCUGUAGUUUUUUUGCAGUUGUGAGGGAGAAGCUAAGCCAGGUUUGUUUGGAUAAUGACUCUCUAACUGCACGUCUAUUCAUUAGCCACACAUUAGAAAGAGGCUUCAUUCUAUUUCACUUGGAUUCAGAGGGUGGCUGGGAAUUGAUAAGGAGAUGGCGUCAUGCUGAAGUUAAACAUUCACACCAGCUGAAGGAAUUGGCAGAUUUGUUUUUACUUCUGUGCUUUUAUCAAGGGUCUGCAUUUCCUACAGCUGUUCUGACAAAUCAAACUUGCUAGAAAAGCUCUGAUAGUGAUCAGGAAGAAAUUGAGCCUCCUGGGGAGAGCAGCUGUUCCUAUAACUGGAUAUGUUGUGUCUCUUGAUAAUCUUCUGUUUGUUUGUCAGAUACGGAGAUUGGAUUGUUAGCGGCUCUCUGUGUGCGUGGUUAAGGAGAAGCAGUUUGAUUGGAGUGUAGUUGGACUCACUCUCCAUAUUCUGCAUGGAACUGCAGACUGGAUCCCCAAAGGCGAUAGGAUGGCAAAAUUAGCAUCCUGAUAACUCUUAUGGGCAGUGGAAUUGUGACAGUUGAAUGUUGGGGCCCAAAUCUGGCAUUCCCCUGAGUAGAACAAGCACUUGCUCCCUCUGCCCCAUUCAAAGUGAGCAGUUCUUGGCUUAUUAUCUUUUGUUAUUCAUAUUGCUAACUAAUAUGAAAGAGAGCCUAAUAGUAUUCCGAAUUGUGUUACUGUUGAAAGCUUUGAUUAGGCCAUCUAAUCUAUGGUUGAGAUAGAUUUACUUUCUCUUGUUAGUUGACCUUUGGGAGUAAGGGUUUGAAGUUGAGGAAAGGUGGGAGGGAUUGUGAGCUGUCACAUUUGAAAUUAAUAGAUAACUGUGUAGGCAGCAUUCCUCUGUAGCUCCCCUUCACCUUUGCUCAGGAUAAAUUUUUGGAGGAUAACAUCUUCCUAUUAGUUACAUGAACCUCUGCAAAGAAACUCUUUGCUUUUUACCCCUGUCCCCUUCCUGCCUCUUCAUUGUACUGGGUAUUCUGUGUCUGCUGUCAGCAUUUUGAACUAUGAUUAAAAUACAGAUUUGAUAACUUGACAA